GGGACUGUUCACGUGACCGCUUUAAACUGCGCUGUAGCAUAUGCUGUCGGGACUGCUGUUAACGUGACGCUCUUAACUUGAUGCUGUUGACGUGGUCGGGACUCUGUUCACGUGACUGUUGUUAACAUGACGCUUAUAACUGCGCUGUGGCGGACAUGACAGCUCACAGCUCCUCAGAAGCGCCGUGAGCUGUCCAGUGAGGGGAUGGUUUCAUGUUCAAAUCUUCAUUUACUGUCCACAUUAUCAGAUGAGGACGUCACCAAAGAGUGUCCUUUGAGUCGAUGUUUACAUUUAUGUACAGAUAAUUAAGAACAUUUAGUUUAUCGUAAAAUGCUAAUUAUUUUCUCCUGCCACCUUUCAGACAUUGUCAUCCAAUUUGGAUGGAACAACUUCGUGACCUUAAUGACACCCAGCAACACGGUGAGAUUAUAAUCCAUUUAAAUGCAAGAAGCAUGACAUUUUUUAAGAUGUUUUUUCUUUAUUUGUGUUAGAGACGCACACAAGAACCACAGGGGAGGAUCUGCAGCAAAGGGCCCACCGGAAAUCAAACCUUGGCCGCUAUGAUGAAGACAACAUGGGGCACUUGAGUGUGACUACGACUACCAGCAUGAACCUCAACACCUUCUUUGCUGUUCCACUAGUGUGACCCAUGAUCGGAUACAAGUUGUCAAGGAUAAACGGUGAGAGAAUCAUGUCAGCCCACAGACAACCGAUUGACCUGAGAUUCGGUCCCCACCUGUCUUCAGUCUGGACCUAAUGACUCAGACACCAGUCUUGUCGAGGCUAAAUCGAGAGAGGAUCACCUGAUGUCAACAUACGAGUUUUCAAGAAGAACUUCCUGAACUUUGUGUCCGUGUGAGACUCUACCAUGCUGGGUGCCCUCUUCAGUCAAGUCUGGACACAGAGACUCAUUACUCUUAAUCAACUCUGGGCAAGUGGCUAAUCUUUUGCUUAUUCAUGGGAUAUCCUUCAUGUCCACAUCCUGUUUCUUCAAGAUCUCAACAAUGCUUUGUGAGUAUACAACACAUGUGAGUGGAUCAGUUCAACCUGUUUUUCACAGAAUGUUAGUUUCUUAAGGUUUUCAUCAACGAUGGUUUGUAUCUUGUUUUCCAAAAGGUGUUAUUAAGAUAUUUCCAUUUGUAAUUUACAAUAAUCAAAUGUUGACUGUAAAAUCUAUGCCAACCUAUUGUUAUACACUGUACCAUGUUUUUGCAAAGGAAUUCUGGUGACUUUAGUUGCCAGCAACUUCCUUUGAACUUUGUAAUAAAAUACCGUAACUGUAAUAAAGUU